GCCGGGGUGGCGGAAUUGGUAGACGCAGUGGAUUCAAAAUCCACCGCUAGUGAUAGUGUGGGGGUUCGAGUCCCCCCCUCGGCACCA
rnacentral:tRNA from 1 species